CUCCGCCUGUGCAGACCGCAGAGCCCCCUGAGGAGGAUGGGUCACCGAGCAGGUGCCGAUGGGGUGGGCAGCCCACAGCCCCAGGGCAGCAGGGGUCUGGGAAUGCAGCCCCAUGUGAACCCCUGGCCACCCCUGCUCCCAGAUCAUCACAAGGGCACCUUGGCUGACAGCCUUUCUCGUUAACCUGGAAACCCCCCCAACUUUGAACUUUCCUAAAGUGGCGCGUGAGCCUCAAAGAGCUCCCGACAGGAGCAGGCUGGACAGGGAGAUCCCGUUAAUCCUCAGACACAAAUGCCCUGAGGAUCAAUAAUGGACAUCCCUUCCUGCGUUGGUGCAAGGAAACCUCAGCCCUGUGGCCGUGAAGCAGCCCCCGUAACCUGGGCACCCUGUCUCCUAGCUCCGGGGUGGCCCCCAGACUCGGGGGUUCUCAAGGUGCAGCCCCUGCACAAGCAGCAGCCCCCAGGGCCCCUGAGGCAUAAUGGCUGGGGCGGCCCCAGGAUCUCAGUGAGCCCCCGGGGGGCCGAUACCCUGGAGUGAGGAGACUCCAGGAGGGGUGGUGGGAAGGCUCUGGGCCACACGGGGCUUCCAAAGCCGAAAGCCUCGCUGACGGGCAAGCCUGGGGCCAGCUGCCGAGUGUUUUCAUUCCCUGCCCUCACCUGGCCACAGGGUUAGGAUGGCCCCUCUGGAGGUGGCGCCACCGGGCCCUCGGGGGCCAGCUGUCUUCCCAGGCCCUCAAGGAGCACCCCGCCUGAGGCCGAAGCCCCUGCGCCCCUGGCUCCUGCAGGGUGGGAGUCGGCCACGGGUGCCGCAGGAAGUCCCAUGGUUUUAGUCACAGCCACCCUAGGCCCACUCUUCCCUCCGGGUCUGUGUGCCCCGCAUCCAGUAGACAAGCACGUCGGGGCCACACACGGACGUAAGCACGGGGCCAGUUCUCAAAUCAUGACUUGAAACGGAUUCCUCGUCUGACUGUUAAGUAAGCUCUCUGGCUUCAUUCAGCUCGGGGAGCAGAGCAGGUCAGGCUCGCGCCCCCCUCCCCGUCAUGCCCCCGUCCCCCGGCCACGUUCACCUCUCCGGGGACCUGACCCACGGGGAAGGGAAAGGCCGGACCAGCAGCGACGCGGUGCCAGGGGUCUUUCCCGUGUGCCCCCACCGCGGAGCAGGGCGGGGGCAGUGCAGCUACGCCCCAGGCCAGGUCAGGGAGACGGGGGAGAACAAGCAGCUUGGCCUGGCUUGACCUUGAAGGUGAUGUUUCCAGCGCCAACCGUCCACGGCGCCUUCCCACAUUCCCCGAGGGCGCCCACCGAGCUCAGGACGUGGCUCUGGGGCCCUGCGUACAGCGGUGGUACGUGACCCUCGGGGCUCCCUGGGCCCACCGACCUCUGCUCUGCUGCCCAGUGGGGGCUGGGGGAGGCACUGGUCACCCCCCUACACGCUCUGGCCUCUCGGGGCCAGGGGCACCCACGCCUGUGUCCAGGGGGCCGCCAGCCACCCAGAAAGAUCCAUGUGCAGUGACUCAAAUAGGCCUGAACCGAGGUGUGGAGUCCGGGUCUUGAGCAGACAAGGGGCGCCCUUCAGGGUACCAGGCUGCGGUGUGUCCGGCGGGUGUGAACCGCGCCCCGAGGCUGGGCUCGCCUCCCCGCGAGGAUGCACGCACACACGCAGGCUCGCCAGCGGGUCUCCUACCUCCGGGUGUGCCUGUGAGGCCGGGCAGCCUCCUGCUGAGAGAGACGCGGUCUUCUCAAAACUGUCUUCUGGAGGCAAGGGCGCAGCCGGGGCCGCCCGGGGCCGCCGAGCACCCUCUGCAGAACGGGGGUUGACGGGGGGACAGUCUGGGCUGGGGCCUCUGCCAGCCGCCCCGUGAGCCAUCCCAGCGUCUCCCUCCCAGCCUCAGCCUCACGGGCUCCCACAGGCCAGGGCCAUGAGGAGUGAAAGCACGGGCAAGAGACCAGCUGGAAUCGCACACAUCACAGGGCACAGCUACAGGCAUUUCUGCAGGGCCAGGGGCAGGUCACAUGGGCAAGGCCCCUGGGACCCCAGGCCUGCCCCCACCCGAGGCCAGAGCCAAGAGCUGCGCCUGGACGACGUGUGACGGCAGCAGCCCUCCUGAGCAGUGCUCUCAGGGUGCAGACCACGCAGGGCCAGGUGGGCCCAGCUGAGCCCAGGAAGGACCCCGAUGCUCCCCCACACUUGCCGGCACCUUCUUCUUUCCCUGAGACUGGGGGACGCAGAGCACUGGAGGGACUCAGGACACCCUCCUCAGGGCCACGGCUUCAUGGUCCUCCGGGGGCAGCAGCUCCCCCUGCGCCACCUCCCAGGUAAGGCUACGCAGCACAGACCCUCCGGGGACGCCUGGGCCUCUGUGGCUGUAAGGGGACCUCAGGUCCAGGGGGCUCAGACGUGUCCACACGCCGCGGGCUCACACAGGCACUUACAGAGCACACGCGCACACACGCAGACACAGGCACUCCCGCCUCUGCAUACUCGCAGACUCGCCAGCACACACACUGAGGACAGGCACACAGUGGAAGGCCAGCUCGGCGCUGGGGUGGGCACAACAGCCAGGAGACCUCCCGUGCCUCCACGGACAGCCGCCGCGGCUGUGACUCCACUGCUUCGGACACAGGGCUCGGUACUGUGCCAAGGGGCCCUGCGUCGGUGGAAUUUCUCACAAGAUCCGGAGGUGUAGGUAAAAAGUGACGGUGACAUCCCCAAGCCCUGUUUCCCAUCCUUCUGGGGACAAAGAGGUGGUCCUGCAGAGUGACACAGGGACCACCAAGUGCCAACGGCAAGGCUCCGGGAGCUGCUGGGAGCUAUUUGGGAUCAAAGCAGAGUGAGGUGAUAACAGCCAGAAAACCAGGUGAUGGCCGCAGCGGGCAGCGUGGGGACACAGCGAGGAACUGGCCCCCCGGAACCAGCUGCUCCCGUAAACAGGCGGUAACAAGACAGGCUCAGGGAGCCGAGGCCCAGCCUGCUCCUGGUGAGCUCCGGCUGAGGACAGGGAUCCCGUUCACCCUCAAAGCGCCCUGGGGGGCGGCAGGUGCGACAGUGGGGUCACGUGCACUUUCCGGAGAGGCCAGGUGUGAGGAGGGGCAGGGGCGGCCUGUCCUGCACAGGCCCCUAGGACGCGGGGCACACGCAGGCCCCGGUGGCCACCUCCGCACACCUUGCUGACCCUGGGCCCGGGGCAGGGCGCGUGGACCGUGGAACUCCCAGGGCCGCGGGGCCCAGCACGACGCACACGGGUGUGCAGAGGGGCAACUGGAACGAGGCCUGCGCUCCUGCCCCACGCUCCACGGGGACCCUCGGCACCGGCCUGCCCUGUGCCCCCUGCACCCCUGCAUGCCUCAGCUGCACACCCCCCUUCCCAGGGCUGGUCCGAGUCCUCCCAGGGCAAGUCUCUUUUUUUUUUCUUAAUCUUUAUCAGUUCCCUUAAUUAUGUCCACGUUCUAACUGAAUUGGGAUUUUACAAGAGUUAGUUUUACUCUGUUUCACCCAGGAGACUAGACCACUUGGGGUGAGCCCU